rnacentral:rRNA from 1 species
AACGAACGCUGGCGGCAUGCCUAACACAUGCAAGUCGAACGGGAUCCUAGCUUGCUAGGUGAGAGUGGCGGACGGGUGAGUAACACGUGGGAAUCUGCCUUUUGGUUCGGGAUAACCGCGGGAAACUGCGGCUAAUACCGAAUGCCCUCGAGAGAGGAAAGAUUUAUCGCCAGAAGAGGAGCCCGCGUCCGAUUAGGUAGUUGGUGGGGUAAAGCCUACCAAGCCGACGAUCGGUAGCUGGUCUGAGAGGAUGAUCAGCCACACUGGGACUGAGAUACGGCCCAGACUCCUACGGGAGGCAGCAGUGGGGAAUAUUGGACAAUGGGGGCAACCCUGAUCCAGCAAUGCCGCGUGAGUGAUGAAGGCCUUAGGGUUGUAAAGCUCUUUUGCCAGGGAAGAUGAUGACUGUACCUGGAGAAUAAGCCCCGGCUAACUUCGUGCCAGCAGCCGCGGUAAU